UCCCGUGUGGCUCAGUUGGUAGAGCAUGGUCUUUGCAAUGCCAGGGUUGUGGGUUCAAUUCCCACAGGGGAC
rfam:Salmo salar isolate Sally breed double haploid chromosome ssa17, whole genome shotgun sequence.